UACGGGGGGGGCAAGCGUUGUUCGGAAUUACUGGGCGUAAAGGGCGCGUAGGCGGCCUGCUAAGUCGGACGUGAAAUCCCUCGGCUCAACCGGGGAACUGCGUCCGAUACUGGCGAGGCUUGAAUCCGGGAGAGGGAUGUGGAAUUCCAGGUGUAGCGGUGAAAUGCGUAGAUAUCUGGAGGAACACCUGAGGCGAAGGCGGGCUACUGGGCCGAUACUGACGCUGAUGUGCGAAAGCCAGGGGAGCGAACGGG
rnacentral:rRNA from 1 species